ACUCAAAGGAAUAGACGGGGGCCCGCACAAGCAGUGGAGUAUGUGGUUUAAUUCGAAGCAACGCGAAGAACCUUACCAGGGCUUGACAUCCUACUAACGAAGCAGAGAUGCAUUAGGUGCCCUUCGGGGAAAGUAGAGACAGGUGGUGCAUGGUUGUCGUCAGCUCGUGUCGUGAGAUGUUGGGUUAAGUCCCGCAACGAGCGCAACCCUUACGGUUAGUUGCUACGCAAGAGCACUCUAGCCGGACUGCCGUUGACAAAACGGAGGAAGGUGGGGACGACGUCAAAUCAUCAUGCCCCUUAUGUCCUGGGCUACACACGUACUACAAUGGCAAUUACAGAGUGAGGCAAAGCAGUGAUGUGGAGCGAAUCCCUAAAAAUUGCCCCAGUUCGGAUCGCAGGCUGAAACCCGCCUGCGUGAAGUCGGAAUUGCUAGUAAUCGCGAAUCAGCAUGUCGCGGUGAAUACGUUCCCGGGCCUUGUACACACCGCCCGU
rnacentral:rRNA from 1 species